rnacentral:tRNA from 1 species
AGAAAAAUAAGCUAAAUUUAAGCUUUUGGAUUCAUACUUCAAAUAUAGAAUUAAAAUCUUUUUUCUA